UACGUAGGUGGCAAGCGUUGUCCGGAAUUACUGGGCGUAAAGCGAGCGCAGACGGUUGUUUAAGUCAGAUGUGAAAUCCCCGAGCUCAACUUGGGAACUGCGUUUGAAACUGGGUAACUAGAGUGUGUCAGAGGGGGGUAGAAUUCCACGUGUAGCAGUGAAAUGCGUAGAGAUGUGGAGGAAUACCGAUGGCGAAGGCAGCCCCCUGGGAUAACACUGACGUUCAUGCUCGAAAGCGUGGGGAGCAAACAGG
rnacentral:rRNA from 1 species